rnacentral:lncRNA from 1 species
AGCAGCGUAGCUGAACAUCUUACGGAUGGCCCAGGGCUCCAAAGGCUCGUUUCCUAAGUGAGAGAGAGCCUGGCUGAAGCUGUAUUACCAUUCAUUCUCCAGCCUCCGAAGUCUCAAAGCAUCACUUCCACCAUACUCUAACUGUCAAGACAAACACAAAGGCCCAGAAAGAAGAAUACACUAUCGAUGUUCCUUUUAAACAAGUAUUUGAGUAAAAGCGAUGUUUCCAAUGUGUGUCAGAAAGUGAAUACUUGUAUAUUUCCGCACGGUUAGAGCUGAGCUUUCCGAGCAAAUUUUACUGGGACCCGGUUGAAAGACAGGUCUUGGAAGUGAAAUGAUGACUGACUAGAUGACAUUACAUGUAAAUGGAAUCAUACAAUAUGUGAUCUUUUGUGACUGGCUUCUUUCACUUAGCAUAACGUUUUCAAGAAACUGCCAGACUGUCUUCUGAAGUGGCUAUAAUAUUUACACUCCCAUCAGCAGUGUAGAAGGGGUCUCACUAUGUUGUCUGGAGUGCUGUGGUGGAGUGGAGUGGCUAUUCACAG